AGGAGUGAACGCGUCGCGGCGUGCCUAACACAUGCAAGUCGAACGAAGACGCUAUAGUUGGAUUCUUCGGAAAAAGAGUAUAGUGACUGAGUGGCGGACGGGUGGAGUAACGCGUGGGCAACCUGCCCCAUACAGGGGGAGUAACAGUUAGAAAUGACUGCUAAUACCGCAUAAGCGCACGGCAACGCAUGUUGCUGUGUGAAAAACUCCGGUGGUAUGGGAUGGACCCGCGUCUGAUUAGCCAGUUGGCAGGGUAACGGCCUACCAAAGCGACGAUCAGUAGCCGGCCUGAGAGGGUGGACGGCCACAUUGGGACUGAGACACGGCCCAAACUCCUACGGGAAGGCAGCAGUGGGGAAUAUUGCACAAUGGGGGGAACCCUGAUGCAGCGACGCCGCGUGAGCGAAGAAGUAUUUCGGUAUGUAAAGCUCUAUCAGCAGGGAAGAAAAUGACGGUACCUGACUAAGAAGCACCGGCUAAAUACGUG
rnacentral:rRNA from 1 species